GAUCCUGGCUCAGAGUGAACGCUGGCGGCAGGCCUAAUACAUGCAAGUCGAACGGCAGCACAGCAGAGCUUGCUCUGUGGGUGGCGGGUGGCGGACGGGUGAGGAAUACAUGGGAAUCUGCCCAGUCGUGGGGAUAACGUAGGGAAACUUACGCUAAUACCGCAUGCGCCCUUCGGGGGAAAGCCGGGGACCGUAAGGCCUGGCGCGAUUGGAUGAGCCCAUGUCGGAUUAGCUAGUUGGCGGGGUAAAGGCCCACCAAGGCGACGAUCCGUAGCUGGGUCUGAGAGGAUGAUCAGCCACACUGGAACUGAGACACGGUCCAGACUCCUACGGGAGGCAGCAGUAGGGAAUAUUGGACAAUGGGCGCAAGCCUGAUCCAGCCAUGCCGCGUGAGUGAAGAAGGCCCUCGGGUUGUAAAGCUCUUUUGUCCGGAAAGAAAAGCGCCGGGUUAAUACCCUGGUGUCCUGACGGUACCGGAAGAAUAAGCACCGGCUAACUUCGUG
rnacentral:rRNA from 1 species